rnacentral:rRNA from 1 species
UACGUAGGGUGCAAGCGUUGUCCGGAAUUAUUGGGCGUAAAGAGCUCAUAGGCGGUUUGUCGCGUCUGCUGUGAAAACUCGGGGCUUAACUCCGGGCCUGCAGUGGGUACGGGCAGACUAGAGUGCGGUAGGGGAGACUGGAAUUCCUGGUGUAGCGGUGAAAUGCGCAGAUAUCAGGAGGAACACCGGUGGCGAAGGCGGGUCUCUGGGCCGUAACUGACGCUGAGGAGCGAAAGCGUGGGGAGCGAACAGG